AGCGAACGCUGGCGGCAGGCUUAACACAUGCAAGUCGAACGGGCAUCUUCGGAUGUCAGUGGCAGACGGGUGAGUAACACGUGGGAACGUACCCUUCGGUUCGGAAUAACUCAGGGAAACUUGAGCUAAUACCGGAUACGCCCUUUUGGGGAAAGGUUUACUGCCGAAGGAUCGGCCCGCGUCUGAUUAGCUUGUUGGUGGGGUAACGGCCUACCAAGGCGACGAUCAGUAGCUGGUCUGAGAGGAUGAUCAGCCACACUGGGACUGAGACACGGCCCAGACUCCUACGGGAGGCAGCAGUGGGGAAUAUUGGACAAUGGGCGCAAGCCUGAUCCAGCCAUGCCGCGUGAGUGAUGAAGGCCUUAGGGUUGUAAAGCUCUUUUGUCCGGGACGAUAAUGACGGUACCGGAAGAAUAAGCCCCGGCUACCUUCGUG
rnacentral:rRNA from 1 species